rnacentral:lncRNA from 1 species
GGCAGUUCUUAAAGCAUUCACAUCGGCAUGCCAAGCUCCGGCACCAAGCCAGGUGCUGAUCCCAAAAGGUGACUUCAAGCUUGGUGAGACCGUGAUGACUGGUCCAUGCAAAUCUCCAAUCGAGUUCACCUUGCAAGGCAACGUGAAAGCUGACGGUGGCUCUACCCAGGGAAAGGAUAGAUGGGUUGUGUUCGAAAAAAUUAAUGGUUUUAAGUUGAACGGAGGUGGAACAUUUGACGGUGAAGGCAAUGCAGCUUGGAAAGCCAACAACUGCCACAAGACUUUUGAGUGCAAGAAACUUCCCAUCGUAGGUGUUUCCGUCUUUAAUAUAUUAACACCAAUGGCUUUUUUUAAAGAUGAUAUAAUUCAGUGAUGCAUGCUAUCUUUCAGAGUGUAAGGUUUGAUUUUGUGGAUAACGCUGAGAUAAAAGACAUAACCUCAUUAGAUGCCAAAAACUUCCACUUCAACGUUAUCAGCGGCAAGAACAUGACCUUUGAUAACAUCAAGAUCAUCGCUCCAGCUGAAAGCCCCAACACUGACGGUAUCCAUUUGGGAAGAUGUGAGGGAGUCAAGAUCCUCAACACUAAGAUCGCCACAGGAGAUGACUGCAUCUCCGUGGGAGAUGGGAUGAAGAAUCUCCUCAUUGAGAAAGUUGUGUGCGGUCCAGGACACGGAAUCAGUGUUGGAAGCCUUGGAAGGUACGGAUGGGAGCAAGAUGUCACUGACAUUAACGUUAAGAACUGUACCCUUGAGGGAACCGACAACGGUCUGAGGAUCAAGACAUGGCCAUCUGCCGCUUGCACCACCACCGCUGCCGGUAUUCAUUUUGAGGAUAUCAUCCUUAACAAAGUUAGCAACCCAAUCCUCAUCGACCAGGAGUACUGCCCUUGGAACCAAUGCAACAAGAACGUAAGUAUCUUUUAUUAGAUUCUAUGUCUUGCCACUAUCACCGUAUUCUAUGAAAUUGGAUGGCUCAGCAAACAUAUUAUUCUGAUGGUUUUCUAGAUAUUUAGCAUUCACCAUUUUGGUUGAGGUUACAUAUAUAUGAUUAUGAUCCCAAAGUUUUUUUUUCUAUUUGCAGAAACCAUCAACAAUUAAGCUGGUGGACAUUACCUUCAGGAAUAUUAGAGGAACAUCAGGGAACAAGGACGCAGUAAAACUAUUGUGCAGCAAGGGACAUCCAUGUGAGAACGUUGAGAUUGGAGACAUUAACAUUGAGUACACAGGACCUGACGGUCCACCCACUUUCGAGUGCACAAACGUCACACCUAAGCUUGUGGGAACCCAGAACCCAAAGGCUUGCGUUGGACCUGUGGUCAAGGCUCCUGGCAAAGAGUAAAAUGUUGAAGCUCAUAUCAACACACUAGGGCUUCCACAUCCAAUUUUGUUUAUUCUUUUUCUAAUCCUUUUUCAAGUCACGUAAGGGAGACUUUUACAAAGCUGUAACAAAAAAAUGUUUCUAUCCGAUGCCAACACAUAUAUAGAUGUGUGAGUGCAUAAUGAUGUAAUUAAUAAAACUAAAUUAUAUAUUCUGCGUAUGAUUGUUUCUUUUUAAAAUAUUAAUAUGCGCGGUAAGUUGUAUACACUUCAAUCUUAAUUUUGUUUUCUUUUCCGAAUCUUAAAAUUAUUUAACAAGAUCUGAUUUCAACCUUAAGAUUAAUUUAACUAAUACAGUAUUAGUUUUUUUUUUUUUAGAACUCAUUUUAAACUAGAACUCAAAUCAUUUCAAUAAUAGUUCACUAACAUGUAGUAUUCUUUCCAAGUUAUACUGAACUAGAACUCAAAGAUACACUUGUUCAUACAUAACCGAUGCAAGCAUUUGGACAACGAAACAUGACAUCGUCAUAAGUAAUCUGAUUGGAAAUGUAAUUUUCAAUCAAACUUUCGCUCUUUGCUUAUGAUCUCUUUGGAAAAAAUUUCACUUGAUAAUAUGAGGUGCAUACUCUUCCUCUCUACUUUGGUUCAAUGCUCCUUAAACAUGUUGGAUACUUUUUUAGGCUUCAAUAUAAAAAAGAAGUUAGGAAAAAUUUAUUGAUAUUGUUAGUAAUAUUACUUCUAUGAUAUUGGUACUUCAAAAGAAGCAUGAGUUAUUAUAGAAACUAGGUUAAGAUCUCUGUUUUGCGCAUGAUGAAUUUUAUGUAUACAAAUGAUAUUUUUCUAUUUUUAUUAUUUAUUUUGUGUUUAUUUAUUUCAUAUUUAUAUAAUUAAAUUAGAGUAAACACAUAAAUCAAAACUAUACCUCCUUUUAUUUCUAAUUUUUUUCAUAAAUAAAUCAAUCGUUUUAUUUAUUUUAUAUGAAAUAUAAUUAAUUUGAAUGAUAAUGACAUAGAUAUCUAGUAAAAUUUAAUAUAACUUAUUAAUUGAGAUUUCCUACUCAUAUAAUCUUAUUAACAUUUGUAUAUAUUGCUGUAAAAAAAAUUAAACCAUUAAUUACAAAACUUUCAAUGUGAGAUUUAUUUCAAUACAAAAUUUUAAAUUGAAAUAUUAAGGUCUCAAUACUUUUAAAAUGUAAAUUUCAAAAUUAACGUAUUUAUGUAUUUUUAUAUGGUAUAUAGUUUAAUUUAAACGAUAUUAAGAUAUAUAUAUAUAUAUAUAUUUAAUAUGAAUAUCUAUUAAAUGAGACUUUAUAUUCAUACAAUUUUAUGAUCAUUUUGUAUCUUGUUAUAACAAAAAAAAGUAGUUAAACCAUUGAUUACAAAAUUUCAAUAUGGGCUUUUAACAUUUUUUAGUAAUUUAUAGUUUUUUAAAAUUCAUAAUAUAACAUAUAAGAAAGAGUCUAUAUUUUAAGUAUAUGGUUAAUGUGAUUGUAUAAUUUCUUUUAAUAAUAUAAAAUUAAAUAAAAUAGAUGGAGGUUACAAAAAUUGUUAUCAAAUCUUUAUUAUUCAUAAUCAUUAGUUUUCGUAUAUAUGUUAAUCAUAUUAGGUAAUUUCGUAACUUUUAUUUAGAGAAAUAAUGAAAAUAUUCUUUUGAACAUACAUUACUAAUCAAUUUGAUAGUUAGUUUAAUAAUAAGAUAUAAUAUAUGUUUCGAUAGACCAUCUAUUUUUUUAAGGAUCCUAAGCAUCAUUGUUGUAUUAAUACGUGGAUACAAAAAAAUGUUGCAAUGCUUUUCAAAUAUAUAAAUGAUUAUGUGGUUGAAAGAAAUUAGAAAAAUGCAAUGCAGUUAAGUAAUGAGGAACGAUUGAUUUUUGUUAUUAAAAGACGGAAGUCACGAACCACAUUAAUUAAAGUCAUCGAUUACUGACUGAUGACAACAUAUUUGACAAACAAUAAUAGAAGUUACAUAUAUUAACGCAUAAAGUUACAAAAUACAUAUACAUAUUUGACAAACAAUAAUAGAAGCGACGAAAUACAAACAAACACCUAAAACAAUUAAUUUUCAAAUACAGUCCAGGUUCUCCGAAAGUCGUUUGCUUUGAAAUGCUCUUUUUUAACUUAGUCAUAAACAUCUUCAUCUUUAUAACAUUAAUUAUUUCUUUUAUGAACUGGUUUGCCUUUUUUUCUUCAUGAUAUUGGGUUCAAUAGUUCCAACUUUUGCCUUUUGAAUUGUGUAAAUCUAUUUCACUAUUUGUUGACCAUUUGCAAUUCUUGCUUUUCUUUCAUCAUAUCAUUUUUUGUUGUAUACAUUUCCCUUGAAUGAUGACUAACUUAUACAAAAUUGGAAUCACUUGCAUCAUUUUCGUGGAUUCUUUUAAACCCACUUCUGCCUGACUACAAGAACAUAUUUAAUCACAGAUGAUGACGAGCCCCAUUCCAACAUGUUGAAAUGUAUAGUCUUGGCACUUGAACAUAGCUCAUGCGUUUUUUUUGUCAAUAUAUCAUUAUUCUCUGAUCAUCCAUUUUGUUACAUAGACUUUGCUAUUGUCAGUGCCAACCAUUAUUCCGAUAGUUUUUUCAUGUGGUGUAGUAAUUUUUCUAAACGAAGCAAUUACUGUUCUCUAACAAUUUUGAAAACCAACCAAUGCUAACGUCCAUAUAUAUUUUCCGCAGCCUGCACAACAGGAUUAUCAGAACGUAAAUCUCCUGAAUUUCUUUAAGUUCUAGUACCUUAUAAAAUUCUACUAACAAUUUGAUAUCUUUUUAGAUGGUGUAAAUGUAAUAACAUAAGUUGGCUAGAAACUAACCUCCCAAAAAUAGAGGUAUCAUGCAAAUGCUAUAAACACGAGUGGAACAAGUCUUAUGCCUAACAAUUGAACGCUAAUUUCCCAAAAUUAAAGUAACCUAGCUAAUACUUCCUUAAAAAUGGGUCAAACAUUCUAAAAAAUGAGAAGUUGGGAGAAAGUAUGGGCCUUCAACAUAUCUCUCCAUUUAACGCACUAUAUAAAGCAGCAGGUGCGUAGUAAAAAUCUCAGAAAACAAAAAUUAAAAGACAAUAAAAAAUAAAAAUAAAUAAAUAAAUAUGGGUUCAUAUUUGGGAAUCUAUACAAUUUUGGUUCUAUGUUUGCUAGGAUAUUCAGCCAAUGCUGAGGUGUUCACCGCUGGUGGUCCUCCAAAUUCUGAUAUUACCGCGGUUAGUAUCUUCACUUGUUUUUUAUUACUUGAAUUCCAAUCAAUGUGUAAACCAUUUCUUAUAUUAACAUACUCGUGGGAGCUAUUGUUGCAGGCAGUUCUUAAAGCAUUCACAUCGGCAUGUCAAGCUCCGGCACCAAGCCAGGUGCUGAUCCCAAAAGGUGACUUCAAGCUUGGUGAGACCGUGAUGACUGGUCCAUGCAAAUCUCCAAUCGAGUUCACCUUGCAAGGCAACGUGAAAGCUGACGGUGGCUCUACCCAGGGAAAGGAUAGAUGGGUUGUGUUCGAAAAAAUUAAUGGUUUUAAGUUGAACGGAGGUGGAACAUUUGACGGUGAAGGCAAUGCAGCUUGGAAAGCCAAUAACUGCCACAAGACUUUUGAGUGCAAGAAACUUCCCAUCGUAUGUGUUUAUGUCUUUAAUAUAUUAACACCAAUGGCUUUUUUAAAGAUGAUAUAAUUCAGUGAUGCAUGCUAUCUUUCAGAGCAACUGCCACAAGA